rnacentral:misc_RNA from 1 species
AUUUACCUGCUUUAGUUAAAAAGUGAACUAAUUCUCCAGGGAAAGUACUGCAGGCCAGAUCGCACAAUUCUUUGAAACACUCUACACCAAGAACCGCGGUUUGUCGGUCAAAACUACGGAUCUCGUCAAACUUUGACAAAACUCUCGUAUAUAGGAUUCUAAAUGGAUAAAAUCAUAAGCAAACUUUAGAGAUUGGAGGGAUGUACAAUUCAAUAUUCUACUACUUACUGGCCUAUUUCAAAGCAUUUGAUUAUAUCUUGAUUCAGGUGUUUUUGGACAUCAUUGUUCUUCAACUGCUUGGCAAAUUGAUAAGCUCAGUGAUAAUACCUGCGUGUAACUGGAUGAGCUGGAAGUAGCAUAGUUGGCAGAUUGACUGAGCGCCCCAAGAGAAUUUAUCUUGAAGUUUUUUAGUAACUGAAGAUAUCCAAUCACUGCCAUUUCACGAGUCUCAGUUUUCCUAGAGUACAGCGCUUUUCGCAAUACAAUGCUAAGCGUGUCUCUGAUUUCAGUCCGGAAGUGAACGAUUGGAAGAAUGGCAAAUAUAACUUGACUAGCUGCGUUUCCAUUUAUGACAGACAAUUGUUCCACUAAAGAUAUAAUCCAGCCUUGACAUUCGAAAACUACCAGUGGUACUUUCUUGCAAAUUUGCGCGAGGCAAUCUGAAAGAUACAGAAGUUUCAUUCAAUCAACAGUUU